AUGUGGAGUACUAACAGGAUUCCCCUAGUAACUGCGAGUGAAGCGGGAAAAGCUCAAAUUUAAAAUCUGGCGGUCUUUGGCUGUCCGAGUUGUAAUCUAGAGAAGUGCUAUCCGCGCUGGACCGUGUACAAGUCUCCUGGAACGGAGCGUCAUAGAGGGUGAGAAUCCCGUCUUUGACACGGACUACCAGGGCUUUGUGAUGUGCUCUCAAAGAGUCGAGUUGUUUGGGAAUGCAGCUCUAAAUGGGUGGUAAAUUCCAUCUAAAGCUAAAUAUUGGCGAGAGACCGAUAGCGAACAAGUACCGUGAGGGAAAGAUGAAAAGAACUUUGGAAAGAGAGUUAAACAGUACGUGAAAUUGUUGAAAGGGAAACGCUUGAAGUCAGUCGCGUUGGCUGGGGAUCAACCUUGCUCUUUUGCUUGGUGUACUUUCCAGUUGACGGGUCAGCAUCAAUUUUGACCGGUGGAUAAAGGUCAGGGGAAUGUGGCAUCCUCGGAUGUGUUAUAGCCCUUGGUUGCAUACAUCGGUUGGGAUUGAGGAACUCAGCACGCCGCAAGGCCGGGUCUUUGACCACGUACGUGCUUAGGAUGCUGGCAUAAUGGCUUUAAUCGACCCGUCUUGAAACGGGAAACCAAGGA
rnacentral:rRNA from 1 species